UACAGAGGGUGCGAGCGUUAAUCGGAAUUACUGGGCGUAAAGGGCGCGUAGGUGGAAGAUUAAGUGAGAUGUGAAAGCCCCGGGCUCAACCUGGGAAUGGCAUGGGAAACUGGCGGGCUGGAGUGUGGCAGAGGGGGGUGGAAUUCCGCGUGUAGCAGUGAAAUGCGUAGAGAUGCGGAGGAACACCGAUGGCGAAGGCAGCCCCCUGGGCCAACACUGACGCUCAGGCACGAAAGCGUGGGGAGCAAACAGG
rnacentral:rRNA from 1 species